AUUAAAGGAGCAAUCCGCUAUGAGAUGGGCCCGCGGCGCAUUAGCUAGUUGGUGAGGUAACGGCUCACCAAGGCGACGAUGCGUAGCCGACCUGAGAGGGUGAUCGGCCACAUUGGGACUGAGACACGGCCCAGACUCCUACGGGAGGCAGCAGUGGGGAAUAUUGCACAAGGGGGGAAACCCUGAUGCAUGCAACGCCGCGUGAGUGAUAAGGGCCUUCGGGUUGUAAAGCUCUUCUUCAGGGACGAUAAUGAC
rnacentral:rRNA from 1 species